GCGGACCUAAAAGUGAGAAGGCAGGCCUGGGUUCAAGCGGACCUGGAAGGAAGACGGCAGGCUGGAGCUCAAGCGGACUGGAAAGGGCUCUUCGGUGUGGAAAAAUGAAUUCUGCUGAGGAAAUAAGCUGUGCGUUUUAGGACAAGGUGGCACCCAUCGGGAGAAAACAAGCAUAACUCCAACAGCUCACUCCUGGCAGAGUGCCGCGCAACAUUGUAGAGGUUGUCACUGAUUCCAUGUCCAGAGACUGCGCAGAAAGCACUAAGGAAAACUGAGUGCUUACAUCCCAA